rnacentral:lncRNA from 1 species
CAUCCUAAGAAUUUAAAUUACAACAUGAAUAAAAAGAAUUACAUUGGGCCCAAUUUUUCAAUCUUCUUUGUAGUCUAUCUCAUAUAACAUGAAAAUAGGGUUAAUUUAAUUUUUAGGCUCAAAACUUAAAACCAACAAGGCCAUUAUCCAACAACAUUGGCCCAAAUAUUAAAGAAUGGCCCAAAAAAUUCAAAUUGCCCUAAUUUUCAAACCCUAGCAACAAAACACACUUUCACCAAAAACACACACUACUCCAACGACUCAAAAUAAGUCGCCACCGCCGGAACCAACUCUCUGACAUGCCUGUUGCUGCCUCGCAAGGCAGCAGCUUGCUGCUAUUGCAACAAUAGUAGCUAUGGCUGCUCGACCGAUUUUUGGUGUUUUUGGUUUUAUUUCUUGCAUUUUGUUCUUCCUUCUUAUCCAUUGAAAUUACAGCAACACGUUUACAUUUCUU